rnacentral:rRNA from 1 species
CCUACGGGUGGCUGCAGUGGGGAAUAUUGGACAAUGGGCGAAAGCCUGAUCCAGCCAUGACGCGUGUGUGAAGAAGGCCUUCGGGUUGUAAAGCACUUUCAGUGGGGAAGAAAGCCUUGGGGCUAAUACCCUCGAGGAAGGACAUCACCCACAGAAGAAGCACCGGCUAACUCCGUGCCAGCAGCCGCGGUAAUACGGAGGGUGCGAGCGUUAAUCGGAAUUACUGGGCGUAAAGCGCGCGUAGGCGGUCUGAUAAGCCGGUUGUGAAAGCCCCGGGCUCAACCUGGGAACGGCAUCCGGAACUGUCAGGCUAGAGUGCAGGAGAGGAAGGUAGAAUUCCCGGUGUAGCGGUGAAAUGCGUAGAGAUCGGGAGGAAUACCAGUGGCGAAGGCGGCCUUCUGGACUGACACUGACGCUGAGGUGCGAAAGCGUGGGUAGCAAACAGGAUUAGAUACCCGUGUAGUC